rnacentral:rRNA from 1 species
UACAGAGGGGGCAAGCGUUGUUCGGAAUUACUGGGCGUAAAGGGCGCGUAGGCGGCCUUCUAAGUCAGACGUGAAAUCCCCGGGCUCAACCCGGGAACUGCGUCUGAGACUGGAAGGCUCGAAUCCGGGAGAGGGAUGCGGAAUUCCAGGUGUAGCGGUGAAAUGCGUAGAUAUCUGGAGGAACACCGGUGGCGAAGGCGGCAUCCUGGACCGGCAUUGACGCUGAGGUGCGAAAGCCAGGGGAGCAAACGGG